rnacentral:rRNA from 1 species
UACAGAGGAGCCAAGCGUUGUCCGGAUUGACUGGGCGUAAAGCGCACGCAGGCGGACGCGCGCGUGGGGUGUGAAAUCUGGCCGCUUAACGGCCAGGCGCCAUCCCAUACGGCGCGACUGGAGUGAUGCAGAGGUCGAUGGAAUUGCCGGUGUAGUGGUGAAAUGCGUAGAGAUCGGCAGGAACACCCAGGGGGAAACCAGUCGACUGGGCAUCUACUGACGCUGAGGCACGAAAGUGUGGGGAUCAAACAGG